GCCUGGGUGGCUCAGUUGGUUGAGCGUCCGACUUCAGCUCAGGUCACGAUCUCACGGUUCGUGAGUUCGAGCCCCGCGUCAGGCU
rfam:Felis catus isolate Cinnamon breed Abyssinian chromosome F1, whole genome shotgun sequence.